rnacentral:rRNA from 1 species
GUGAGGAAUAUUGGUCAAUGGGCGGGAGCCUGAACCAGCCAAGUCGCGUGAAGGAAGAAGGAUCUAUGGUUCGUAAACUUCUUUUGCAGGGGAAUAAAGUGCAGGACGUGUCCUGUUUUGUAUGUACCCUGAGAAUAAGGAUCGGCUAACUCCGUGCCAGCAGCCGCGGUAAUACGGAGGAUCCGAGCGUUAUCCGGAUUUAUUGGGUUUAAAGGGUGCGUAGGUGGUUUGAUAAGUCAGCGGUGAAAGUUUGCAGCUUAACUGUAAAAAUGCCGUUGAAACUGUCGGACUUGAGUGUAAAUGAGGUAGGCGGAAUGCUUGGUGUAGCGGUGAAAUGCAUAGAUAUCACGCAGAACUCCGAUUGCGAAGGCAGCUUACUAAGCUACAACUGACACUGAAGCACGAAAGCGUGGGGAUCAAACAGGAUUAGAUACCCGGGUAGUCC